rnacentral:rRNA from 1 species
AUUGAACGCUGGCGGCAGGCUUAACACAUGCAAGUCGAGCGGAGAUGAGGUGCUUGCACCUUAUCUUAGCGGCGGACGGGUGAGUAAUGCUUAGGAAUCUGCCUAUUAGUGGGGGACAACAUUCCGAAAGGAAUGCUAAUACCGCAUACGUCCUACGGGAGAAAGCAGGGGAUCUUCGGACCUUGCGCUAAUAGAUGAGCCUAAGUCGGAUUAGCUAGUUGGUGGGGUAAAGGCCUACCAAGGCGACGAUCUGUAGCGGGUCUGAGAGGAUGGUCCGCCACACUUGGACUGAGACACGGCCCAGACUCCUAGGGGAGGCAGGAGUUGGGAAUAUUGGACAAUGGGGGGAACCCUGAUCCAUGCAUGCCGCGUGUGUGAAGAAGGCCUUAUGGUUGUAAAGCACUUUAAGCGAGGAGGAGGCUACUGAGACUAAUACUCUUGGAUAGUGGACGUUACUCGCAGAAUAAGCACCGGCUAACUCUGUGCCAGCCGCCGCCGUAAUAC